rnacentral:misc_RNA from 1 species
AGAGUUUCAACAAACUUCUAAGAACAGGAACUAAGAAAUUCCAAUUAUACUUGUGAAUAUUUACAUUAAGUAGGAGGCACUAAGUAAAAGAAUUCAAAGAAAAAGUCUCAUCAAGCCAGGGAGAUUAACAAAUACCAAGUACCCCAAAUUAAUCACUAGGCCAGGGUUGCAAGUGGGGCUGAGUAAAGAUAGUUAAAAUGAUUAAACACGAAUAAUAUCACAAAUCACAAUCGAUUGGAAAAAAGGAGAGGGGGUCAUUUCUCACUUGCAAGUAGCUAUUAUAAGAAAACUCAUAAUUCAAAUCAAAUCAAGCAAAACAAAAGACUCAAAAAAAUGUUUAUUCCAAAAAAUCAACAAGCACCCAUUAAUCCUAA